rnacentral:rRNA from 1 species
UACGAAGGGGGCUAGCGUUGCUCGGAAUCACUGGGCGUAAAGGGUGCGUAGGCGGGUCUUUAAGUCAGGGGUGAAAUCCUGGAGCUCAACUCCAGAACUGCCUUUGAUACUGAGGAUCUUGAGUUCGGGAGAGGUGAGUGGAACUGCGAGUGUAGGGGUGAAAUUCGUAGAUAUUCGCAAGAACACCAGUGGCGAAGGCGGCUCACUGGCCCGAUACUGACGCUGAGGCACGAAAGCGUGGGGAGCAAACAGGG